UACGGAGGAUCCGAGCGUUAUCCGGAUUUAUUGGGUUUAAAGGGUGCGUAGGCUGGUUUUUAAGUCAGCUGUGAAAUACCGACGCUUACCGUCGGCACUGCAGUUGAAACUGGGAACCUUGAGAGUGCAAGAGGCAUGCGGAAUUCAUGGUGUAGCGGUGAAAUGCAUAGAUAUCAUGAAGAACCCCGAUUGCGAAAGCAGCAUGCUGGGGCAUAUCUGACGCUGAGUCACGAAAGUGCGGGUAUCAAAC
rnacentral:rRNA from 1 species